rnacentral:rRNA from 1 species
UCUCAGUUCGGAUUGUAGUCUGCAACUCGACUACAUGAAGCUGGAAUCGCUAGUAAUCGCGAAUCAGAAUGUCGCGGUGAAUACGUUCCCGGGUCUUGUACACACCGCCCGUCACACCAUGGGAGUCAGUAACGCCCGAAGCCGGUGACCCAACCAAACGGAGGGAGCCGUCGAAGGUGGGACCGAUAACUGGGGUGAAGUCGUAACAAGGUAAC